rnacentral:misc_RNA from 1 species
UUAAGUUCAGCGGGUACUCCUACCUGAUCCGAGGUCAACAUUCCAGAGGUUUGGGGUGUUUCACGGCCGUGGACGCGCCGCGCUCCCGGUGCGAGCAUGCAAACUACUGCGCAGGGGAGGCUGCGGCGAGACCGCCACUGCAUUUCGGGGCCGCCCCGGUGAGGGGGCCGAUCCCCAACGCCGACCCCCCGGAGGGGCUC